rnacentral:rRNA from 1 species
UACAGAGGUCUCAAGCGUUGUUCGGAUUCAUUGGGCGUAAAGGGUGCGUAGGCGGCUUGUCGCGUCGGCUGUGAAAACCUGGGGCUCAACCCCGGGCCUGCAGCCGAUACGGGCAAGCGUAGAAUUCGGUAGGGGAGACUGGAAUUCCUGGUGUAGCGGUGAAAUGCGCAGAUAUCAGGAGGAACACCGGUGGCGAAGGCGGCGAUCUGGACGAUGACUGACGCUGAGACGCGAAAGCGUGGGGAGCAAACAGG